rnacentral:rRNA from 1 species
UACGGAGGGGGCUAGCGUUGUUCGGAAUUACUGGGCGUAAAGCGCACGUAGGCGGCUUUGUAAGUUAGAGGUGAAAGCCCGGAGCUUAACUCCGGAACUGCCUUUAAGACUGCAUCGCUUGGAUCAUGGAGAGGUAAGUGGAAUUCCGAGUGUAGAGGUGAAAUUCGUAGAUAUUCGGAAGAACACCAGUGGCGAAGGCGACUUACUGGACAUGUAUUGACGCUGAGGUGCGAAAGCGUGGGGAGCAAACAGG